rnacentral:rRNA from 1 species
UACGAAGGUGGCAAGCGUUACUCGGAAUUACUGGGCGUAAAGCGUGCGCAGGCGGUUUUGUAAGUCUGUCGUGAAAGCCCCGGGCUCAACCUGGGAAUUGCGAUGGAGACUGCAAGGCUUGAAUCUGGCAGAGGGGGGUAGAAUUCCACGUGUAGCAGUGAAAUGCGUAGAGAUGUGGAGGAACACCGAUGGCGAAGGCAGCCCCCUGGGUCAAGAUUGACGCUCAUGCACGAAAGCGUGGGGAGCAAACAGG